GUGUUCGUAGAAAGGAGAGACGGUUGGCAUCUCCCCUGAUAGGGACGGGAAGGGCCCUCGGGCUUUCCUAUAGCAUACACUGUGGUUAAGGCUAUCCGCUUCGGUAGAUCUUACCCAAGUUUUUUU